GAAGCGAGCCGGAUCAUCGCGUCUUGCCUCGCGCAAGCGAAACGAGACGAGGAAAGUCCGAACACGAUAGAGCAGAGUAAGAGGUAACGCCUCUCGCUAGUGAUAGCGCUAUAGGGCCACAGAAACCAGGUCUGUUCCGCCCUGCGGAAUAAGAGUGAAAAGGGUAACCAGUACUCCGUGCAAAUGCAAAUAGGCUUACGCUUGUCCCGCUUUUAAAAAUUUUCAACGUUCUGGCGGGACAUGAAGAGCGGCUCGCUCGAGUAAGCGGGUAGCAUGCUCGAGGUUGCCGGCGACGGCAGCCCUAGAUAAAUGAUGAUCAGCCCGUUUCAGCGGGAUACAGAAUUCGGCUUACAGGCUCACUUCGACA
rnacentral:RNase_P_RNA from 1 species